AUUGAACACUGGCGGCAGGCCUAACACAUGCAAGUCGAGCGAGCGGCGGACGGGGGUGUAAUGUCUGGGAAACUGUCUGAUGGGGGGGGAUAACUACUGGAAACGGUAGCUAAUACCGCAUACCAUCAGAUGUGCCCCGAUGGGAUUAGCUAGUAGGUGGGGUAACGGCUCACCUAGGCGACGAUCCCUAGCUGGUCUGAGAGGAUGACCAGCCACACUGGAACUGAGACACGGUCCAGACUCCUACGGGAGGCAGCAGUGGGGAAUAUUGCACAAUGGGCGCAAGCCUGAUGCAGCCAGGCCGCGUGUGUGAAGAAGGCCUUCGGGUUGUAAAGCACUUUCAGCGGGGAGGCGUUACCCGCAGAAGAAGCACCGGCUAACUCCGUGCCAGCAGCCGCGGUAAUUC
rnacentral:rRNA from 1 species